rnacentral:lncRNA from 1 species
GUAGGGAACACCUCCCCCAGCCUCGCACCCCUGCUUUGAAGUUUCUGCUCUGUGCCUCUUAUCUUCUGGUUCCCAAUUCCAGUUCCCUGGAGAUGAAAUUGCCCUUAACAUGGAACAUCACUUCCUGGAUUCUACUGUAUCACCCUGCAGAGGUAUCCAGUUGAUAUCUUUAGCCUCUUUCCAAGAUAUAGCGACUUUGACUGAGUGGUGGCUGUAGGAAGAGAUGAGUCAAUGGUAAGUGUGGGGAUCUCUAUGAAAAGACUUUCUUAAAAGUUUAAGGACAAGUUAGGCACUCCCAGGCUUCCCAGGAGGGGGCAAUGAAAAUAGAAAGCAACUUGUGUGACCCAUCUAUUCCGCCUGAGAAGGAUGGUGCCUUUUAAUUAAACAAAUUACCAAAAAUGCUUAAAGGUUAAAUGGAAGGUGUCUGAGCAAGAUAUGGACCUUAUCAGCAUGGUGCAUGGAGAAGUUCCUCUAUGGCAGCAUGUUGUGUGAACUUAGAUUGCAUAGACGUGGAGAGUAAAGAUUGCUCUAGGGACCUUGGUAAUAGAGAGAGACGAUAAUAAUCUAGCAAGAGAAAUAGAAGGAAAGCAAGAAUUAUCAAAAGUGCAUACAAUAGGAUGGAGAUGGGCGAAAAGAUGACUGAGGCUAGAAUCUGGAGCUGAAUCCCUGAGAAACGUGUGCAUUAUUUAUACACUAAGGAAGUCAGAAAGAAUGUCCGGUUUAAUAGAGAAGAUGAUGAAUUUUAGCUAUUCUCUUUUGAUUUAUUUAUUUGAACUUCAGCACUUAAUAUAUUUAAACAUAUCUGUGUACUUGUAAGCCACAUUUUCCACUUAAAAUAAAAAUAUUUAAAUUAUAUUUUAAUCAGUCAGGCUUAAAAGAGUGAUGAUCAAUAUUUUUAUAAUACUUUUCUUUAUCCUUCAAAAAUAGAUAUCUAUUGUCACUUGAAAUGUAAUGUUUUAACAUGCGUUUUCUUAGUAGAGAGGACCUCCAAGAUGGUGGAACUGCAUUUGUGGAAUCAUCCUAAUGAUUAGUGCUAAUUAGACUUGUGAUUUCACCAUGAUAUCAGAGACCUAAAUGCCCCCGCAGAGUAAAGAAAAUUCUCUUCCACCACUGCACAUUCAUGAAAAUCAUGUCCUAUGAGAGUCAACUAAAGAAGUUACAAAGAAAAUGUCCAGAGCAAAAGAUAAACAUGAUGGACAUAGUAGAGACAUAAAAGCCUGGAUCCACGUGCAGAUCUUCCUUCUCAGAGCUGGGCAAUGUGUGCUCUGAACUUACUCUGUUACCGUUAAGAACCCCGAGCAACGGUGAGAAUACAGAGGAUUCUUCAAACAAGCCAGGAAUUUUUGACCUUGCAGUGAGAAUACAGAGGAUUCUUCAAACAAGGCAGGAAUGCCCAUUCGACUUUCCCCAAUGGCUCUGCAUAAGAGGAACCAACAGAGAUCCUUUCCUGAGACCUAAGGAGGCAAAAGCUAGGUGGCAACCAAAGAUUUCAGAGGAGGAAGCAGGUAAGGUGCAGAGCUGCCAGGUGAUUUCUCCCAUUGACUAUUUGUCUUUUUCCUUUCUUACUACCUUCUUUGUUUGCUUAUUUUAGUAGUUGCUUCAGGAUAUAUAGUAGUAUAUAUCACAGGCACCCUUCAAGUGAUAUAUUGCCCCUUCAUAUAGUACAAAAUCCUCACAACAGUAUACUUCCAUUUCUUUUCUCCUGGCCUUUAGUCCUCACUGUCUUCUGUUUUCAUCCAAAUCUUCUUCCUGACUGUUGACUCUAUUGAACCCAGUGGCCCCAAGUCUGUCACCACAUGCUGGGCUGUGAGAUGUCGGUGCCCUGCAGCCAAAGGCCUCCAAGAGCUCACCUGCACUUAAGUAAGUUGGGUUUCUCAUUUGUCACCGUGAGGGAGUACACACACACCAUGGAGAAUUGCCAGGUGUCCCAGUAAAGGGUGUCAGAAAGAACCUAUUAUAGGAUGUGAGCUUUGCUUGGUGGUUUUGAAAGGAUUUAGUGAAAUAGGGAAUUGGUCUCUGUUGGCUGCAGUCAAGAAGGGAAGGUCAUUCUAUGAUUGGUACCUCAAUAAAUCUUACCUAUGGGAGGGCAUUCUAGAUGCUAAAGCAGUAAUUAAUAAUAAUAAAAAAAGCAGCCACUCAUAUUACCUGAGGAAGAGAGAUUUUUGUAUUUUGCAGCUCGGAUGAUAUGCAUGUUUUGUCUCUAUUUAGGCAUGAUUCUGGAAUGGUCUGUUUGCUAUCUUCGUUGUUGUUGUGUCUUGAUCUAUCAUAGUCACAGAGUGAUCUUGUCUCAUAUUAAUGUUCUGUGAAAUCAUUUAUGUUCAACAGGAAAGCACCGAGGCACAGCCAUGAGUGCCACACCAGCUCAUAAAAACACCAAGAUCUGCCUGAUAAUGCCAGGGCAUGCCUGGGUGUCAGGCGCUGCUCUGCUUUUCUGGGGAAUCGCAGAGUUCUGGUGUGAACUUCUCCACCAGCCCCCGAGCAGCCUAGCCUCAGCAGCAGAUGUGCUUGGCUGCUCAGGUUGACUGAUGGGAAUCUCCUCCUAUGUUCUUGUUUCCCUUUAGACCUUCAUUUCUCCAGCUUCUCCCCUAAUUGUGCCAAUCUGAUUUCUAUAAUGAAUCCCUCAUCCCAUUACUCAUAGUGGUACUGC